CAAAAAUGGAAUAGACGGCUUCAUUACAGAUUAUCCGGAAGAGUAUCAGUGCAGAAUGGACGGACAAACUAUUGACUUUGAACCGGAAAAGGUCUCCACAACCCCAGUAGGAAAUCAGGCGACGGAUAAAGACAGUGAACAAAGAAGUAUUUCCAGUUUUAAAUCAAUAGGGAAUUAUACAACUGAUACAAUCAAUGGAUGUACAAGUCAUUCUCUUACAGCAAUAGCCCUUAUGCUGUCACUGAUAAUUUCUUACAAUGUGCAAUAUUUCAUAGAAAGCGGAUUCGUUUUUCUACCUAGUUGAAAAGUAACAUUCUUCCAUAGAAGAAUAGUGAAGGAAUCCCCAACCUUUUGGUGAUCACUGAAGUAACAAUACAUUGUUAGCGAUCGCCAUUAUCUUCUACAUGGAGUGUGCCUGCAUGAGUUACAAUCUCUCGAGUCGACUAUGUGAUACAAAUAUCAAUGUUUUAUACUGUAAUGGAAAUUAGGACGUUAUUUCAUAAGUUCACUGUGUGUUCUGAACACUUUUCUUUUAAUGAAAAGUCAUCACUUCAUUAUCGGAAGACAAUUCUUUUCUUCAGCGAUUUGAACUUAUUUUUACACUACGUCUCUUUUUUCAUGAUUUCCAGAAUGUUAGAAGUUCACUACAUCUUAAAAUGUAUAUGUUCAGUUUCAAGUCAGAUAACUACCUGCAAGAUCAUUACAUUUCCGAUAUCAAAAUGAAUUCGACAAAACAUUGUCUCUCUCACUUGUUUAAAGACCGAAAAUCUAAUGCAUGUGUUAAUACUAAUAAAAUGGCUGUAGCUCAAUCUUUACCAUCAUUAAAUAAAAAUGAAAUAAAUAUUCACCAUUACUUUCCAAAUUCAUGAAGAGUUUGUUUCAUCUAAGACCAUAUUUGCCAAGGUAAGGACUU